GAUGAGAGUUCUAGAUUAGAGUUUCUUUUGUAUUUUAUUCCCUGUCUAGGUGAUUUUUUCAGAUAUUUUCAGACAUCUUAGUCGACUAACUUUUCACUCGACUGCAGCUUAGAAGAGUACUACGAGGUUUGACCCUCAUCUAGACUCUUGUCUAGUAAUUAAAUGGAGGAAUAAAAAUAAUUUUUCUUGUAUGUCCCCAUUUCUUCACA
rnacentral:lncRNA from 1 species